rnacentral:misc_RNA from 1 species
AACGCACCUUGCGCCCCUUGGCAUUCCGAGGGGCACACCCGUUUGAGUGUCGUGAAAUUCUCAAAAUCCUUUUCUUUGAUCGGAAUAGGACUUUUGGACUUGGAGGUUCAAUGCUCGCUUUCGCCUUUGAAAGCGAGCUCCUCUCAAAUGAAUCAGUGGGGUCCGCUUUGCUGGUCCUUGACGUGAUAAGAUGCUUCUACGUUUUGGAUUUGGCAUUGUUUUCUCCGCUCCUAACCGUCCCAUGGGACAACGAUGGUGCUUCGGUCGUCGCCAUUCAUGGCGGGAGGGCUGAACCCACAAAGAACCUUGACCUCAAAUCGGGUGAGACUACCCGCUGAACUUAA